GACGAACGCUGGCGGCGUGCUUAACACAUGCAAGUCGAACGGUAAGGCCCCUUCGGGGGUACACGAGUGGCGAACGGGUGAGUAACACGUGAGUAACCUGCCCCUAACUCUGGAAUAACGGCUGGAAACAGCCGCUAAUACCGGAUAUGACCUCGAGCGUCAUCGCUUGAGGUGGAAAGCUCCGGCGGUUAGGGAUGGACUCGCGGCCUAUCAGCUUGUUGGUGAGGUAACGGCUCACCAAGGCUUCGACGGGUAGCCGGCCUGAGAGGGCGACCGGCCACACUGGGACUGAGAUACGGCCCAGACUCCUACGGGAGGCAGCAGUGGGGAAUAUUGCACAAUGGGCGCAAGCCUGAUGCAGCAACGCCGCGUGUGGGAUGACGGCCUUCGGGUUGUAAACCACUUUCAGCUAGGACGAAGCGCAAGUGACGGUACUAGCAGAAGAAGCACCGGCCAACUACGUGCCAGCCGCCGCCGUAACAC
rnacentral:rRNA from 1 species